CAUAGCUCACUCUUAUGAAUCUAUAAGACAAAGAAGCACAAGAGUAACUGGUAACUCCUAGAAGCCAGAAAAGAAAUAUGGGACGGACAAUCCUUCAUAGUUCUCUAGAUGGGACCAAUUUUGCUGAUGCUGUCUAUUCCAGAUUCUUCAAGAUUGGAAAAAGAAGAUGAUGAGCAUUUUUAAAAUCAGUUCACUGAGCACUGGGCAACUGCUUAAGGGAAGGUCCAAGAACAGAAAAAAUAUUUGAAGAAAAUAAGAAAAAUCUGACAUUCAUAAUACAGGCACAAAUAGGAGUGCACAGAUUGCCUUUUGCGACAAAAAACAAAGGAAGAAAAAUGGCAGCAACCCAGAUUAUUAUUAUACUUAAAUGGUCUCUCACAUUUUAUGAAGAUCUUUGUGCAAACGUAUUAAGCCAUUCAUUUAACAGAAAUAUAUUUGUUUCACAUGUAUCAGAAAAUGUGAGUCUUAAGUAUAAUCCUGAGGUCAAA